rnacentral:rRNA from 1 species
GCUUGUCUCAAAGAUUAAGCCAUGCAUGUCUAAGCAUGAGCCAAUUAAUGGUGAAGCCGCGAAUAGCUCAUUACAACAGCCAUUGUUUACUUGAUCUUGAUAUCCUACUUGGAUAACUGUGGUAAUUCUAGAGCUAAUACACGCACCAAAGCUCAGACCUUUCGGGACGAGCGCAUUUAUUAGAACAAAACCAAUCGGGCUUCGGCUCGCCGUCGGUGACUCUGAAUAACUCAGCUGAUCGCAUGGUCUUGCACCGGCGACUCAUCUUUCAAGUGUCUGCCUUAUCAACUUCCGAUGGUAGAUUAUGUGUCUACCAUGGUUGUAACGGGUAACGGAGAAUAAGGGUUCGACUCCGGAGAGGGAGCCUGAGAAACGGCUACCACAUCCAAGGAAGGCAGCAGGCGCGUAAAUUACCCAAUCUCAGCACGAGGAGGUAGUGACGAAAAAUAACGAGACCGUUCUCUAUGAGGCCGGUUAUCGGAAUGGGUACAAUUAAACCCUUAACGAG